UACGUAGGGGGCUAGCGUUGUCCGGAAUCAUUGGGCGUAAAGAGCGUGUAGGCGGUCCGGUAAGUCCGCUGUGAAAGUCGGGGGCUCAACCCUCGAAUGCCGGUGGAUACUGUCGGGCUAGAGUGCGGAAGAGGCGGAGUGGAAUUCCUGGGUGUAGCGGGUGAAAUGACGCAGAGUAUCAAGGAAGAACACCCGUGGCGAAGGCGGCUCUCUGGGACGGUACUGACGCUGAGACGCGAAAGCGUGGGGAGCGAACAGG
rnacentral:rRNA from 1 species